AUGGCACAGGGGUUCCUUGGGCUAAUGACUCUACCUGAGCUUCUUGUUCAAGCAAAGUCCUGGAACUGUGUGAUAACUUGCCCAGAAAUUCUUCUUACGGAAUUUGUCUUUACAUGGAAACAACUUGGCAAUAUUCGUACAGCAACUAGAAGAAAGGUCUUUGCUGAGAUAUACAAAGAAGCAGAAUGUGUGUGGAUCACUGAUUAGACAAGGCGAAUAGGAGCAGAAUAGAAGAGGAAUGGAAUAGAACUCAACGUUGAAUUUAAACCAUAAUGCUUGCAAGUGGAAAACUAGAAAGCUGGAAGGAGGACAACAAUAAGUACUCUGCUCAUCCUGCAUUCCAGUCUUCCAAAAAUACUUGGAAAUAAAGUGAAUAAAAUUCUGUUAAACGUUUUGACACGGGUCCCCUU
rnacentral:lncRNA from 10 species